AACGUAGGAGACAAGCGUUAUCCGGAGUUACUGGGCGUAAAGGGCGUGUAGGCGGUUUGUUAAGUCUGGCGUGAAAGCUCUCGGCUAAACCGGGAGAGGUCGUUGGAUACUGGCAGACUAGAGGACGGUAGAGGCGUGUGGAAUUCCGGGUGUAGUGGUGAAAUGCGUAGAGAUCCGGAGGAACACCAGUGGCGAAGGCGACACGCUGGGCCGUACCUGACGCUAAAGCGCGAAAGCAUGGGGAGCAAACGGG
rnacentral:rRNA from 1 species